CAGUAGGCUAACAACAGGAGACGGGAGAGAUACGUGACUGAUUACAGGCUCCCCUGCAGCCGGAUCGGAGUGGAAAGACACCGGGAUCCUUAGGCUGGUUUGCAGGAAACCCAACACCACCAGCUGGGUCUGAUUCACACCUGAAGCAGGAGGCAACAGGGCUGAAAAAUGAUCCCUUCAUCCCCAUUGGCCGCACCCUGCAUUUCAGUGACACUGGUGCAGUGCAUUGUGGGAAUGUGUCCCCUCACUGACAUGAAGCUUUCCACAGAGUCAUAAUGGAUCACGUUCUAUCGCUAUGGACGUAAGCUAGGCAUGUUCCAAGCAACUGCAUUUGACUGCACUUGCAAGAAACACGCUUUCUGCCUGAGUACUGUUUGUUUUAGCCCAGUAGAACUUAAGUAGUAUUUUACAGAACAGCUCAAGGAAGCAGGUUGUUUGUAUUUCAUUGACAAAUUUAUUAAAGACCAGUAGCACGUGA